rnacentral:rRNA from 1 species
UACGUAGGGUGCAAGCGUUGUCCGGAAUUAUUGGGCGUAAAGAGCUCGUAGGCGGUUUGUCGCGUCUGCUGUGAAAUCCCGAGGCUCAACCUCGGGCCUGCAGUGGGUACGGGCAGACUAGAGUGCGGUAGGGGGAGAUUGGAAUUCCUGGUGUAGCGAUGGAAUGCGCAGAUAUCAGGAGGAACACCGAUGGCGAAGGCAGAUCUCUGGGCCGUAACUGACGCUGAGAAGCGAAAGCAUGGGGAGCGAACAGG